rnacentral:rRNA from 1 species
UCUUGGUCAUUUAGAGGAAGUAAAAGUCGUAACAAGGUUUCCGUAGGUGAACCUGCGGAAGGAUCAUUACAUUCAGUAGCCUAGCUACUUGUUUACACCCUUGUUUUUUUUGCGCACUUCACUGUAUCCCUCGGCGGGCUUGCUCGCCGGUUGGACAACAUUUAUAACCUUUUUUAAUCUUCAAUCAGCGUCUGAAUUAUAUUUAAUAAUUACAACUUUCAACAACGGAUCUCUUGGUUCUGGCAUCGAUGAAGAACGCAGCGAAAUGCGAUAAGUAGUGUGAAUUGCAGAAUUCAGUGAAUCAUCGAAUCUUUGAACGCACAUUGCGCCCCUUGGUAUUCCAUGGGGCAUGCCUGUUCGAGCGUCAUUUGUACCCUCAAGCUUUGCUUGGUGUUGGGCGUCUUGUCUACCUCUUUAGCGGGUAGACUCGCCUUAAAGUAAUUGGCAGCCAGUGUUUUUGGCAGUAAGCGCAGCACAUUUUGCGUCUUAGUCCCUAAACAGUGGCAUCCACAAAGCCUCUUUCUCACUUUUGACCUCGGAUCAGGUAGGGAUACCCGCUGAACUUAAGCAUAUCAAUAAGCGGAGGAA